rnacentral:tRNA from 1 species
GGCACUAUACUUUAGUUAAAAGGUCUAAUUUGCAAUUAGAGAAGGGAAUGUCCUAGUGCAG